rnacentral:rRNA from 1 species
AUUGAACGCUGGCGGAAUGCUUUACACAUGCAAGUCGAACGGCAGCACGGACUUCGGUCUGGUGGCGAGUGGCGAACGGGUGAGUAAUGUAUUGGAACGUGCCCAGUCGUGGGGGAUAACGUAGUGAAAAUUACGCUAAUACCGCAUACGAUCUAUGGAUGAAAGCGGGGGAUCGCAAGACCUCGCGCGAUUGGAGCGGCCGAUAUCAGAUUAGGUAGUUGGUGGGGUGAAGGCCCACCAAGCCAACGAUCUGUAGCUGGUCUGAGAGGACGACCAGCCAAACUGUAACUGAGACACGGCCCAGACUCCUACGGGAGGCACCAGUGGGGAAUUUUGGACAAUGGGCGAAAGCCUGAUCCAGCCAUUCCGCGUGCAGGAUGAAGGCCCUCGGGUUGUAAACUGCUUUUGUACAGAACGAAAAGGUUUCUACUAAUACUAGGAGCUCAUGACGGUACUGUAAGAAUAAGCACCGGCUAACUACGUGCCAGCAGCCGCCGUAA